GUGGUUGUAGCUCAGUUGGUAGAGCCCCGGAUUGUGAUUCCGGUUGUCGUGGGUUCGAGCCCCAUCAUCCACC
rfam:Rheinheimera nanhaiensis E407-8 DNA, contig: CTG007.